rnacentral:rRNA from 1 species
CCCCUAGACGUUCUGGGCUGCACGCGCGCUACAAUAAUACGCACAGCGAGUAUCACCGAGCUCGAAAUGGCAAGGUAAACAAUAGAAAAGGUACUGUAAUGGUUAUAGAUCCUUGUAAUUAUUGAUCUUCAACGAGGAAUUCCUAGUAAGUAUGUGUCAUCAUCACGCACUGAUUACGUCCCUGCCCUUUGUACACACCGCCCGUCGCUCCUACCGAUUGGGUGAGCCGAUGAAACUCUCGGAUGUAGGCUAUUCAUAGCCCGCAGAAGAGAUUUGAAUCGUAGCGCUUAGAGGAAGGAGAAGUCGUAACA